UUGGGGUUGUUGCUAGUGGAGUUCAUGUAGAUGGAGCCAUUGUAGGGAAGCUCCGAACGAAUAUGAUGAGAGGGAAGUCAAAUUAAGGGCUAGAGGGGAGGCAAAGAGAGGAUUUGAGGUUGUGAAUGAGGAAGAAGUGGAAUCGAAGAGGCCGCUAAGGAGGUUGUUGUAGGUGAGGGCUAUGGCAUGGUCAUGGUAUCAAAGGGAGCUAGGGGCCUGGAUGUUGG
rnacentral:lncRNA from 1 species